CUGGCUCAGGAUGAACGCUGGCGGCGUGCUUAACACAUGCAAGUCGAACGAAGCAUUCCAACUCUCGGAGGAAGAAAUGACUGAGUGGCGGACGGGUGAGUAACGCGUGGGUAACCUGCCUUAUACAGGGGGAUAACAGUUAGAAAUGACUGCUAAUACCGCAUAACCCGCUAGUACCGCAUGGUACAGACGGAAAAGAUUUAUCGGUAUAAGAUGGACCCGCGUCUGAUUAGCUAGUUGGUGAGGUAAUGGCUCACCAAGGCGACGAUCAGUAGCCGGCUUGAGAGAGUGAACGGCCACAUUGGGACUGAGACACGGCCCAAACUCCUACGGGAGGCAGCAGUGGGGAAUAUUGCACAAUGGGGGAAACCCUGAUGCAGCAACGCCGCGUGAAGGAAGAAGUAUUUCGGUAUGUAAACUUCUAUCAGCAGGAAAGAAAAUGACGGUACCUGACUAAGAAGCCCCGGCUAACUACGUGCCAGCAGCCGC
rnacentral:rRNA from 1 species